GACAGAGGGUGCGAACGUUGCUCGGAAUCACUGGGCGUAAAGCGCGUGUAGGCGGACUUGUAAGUCAGGUGUGAAAUCCCUGGGCUCAACCUAGGAACUGCAUCUGAAACUGCUCGUCUUGAGUGUCGGAGAGGGAAGCGGAAUUCCUGGUGUAGAGGUGAAAUUCGUAGAUAUCAGGAGGAACACCGGUGGCGAAGGCGGCUUCCUGGACGACUACUGACGCUGAGACGCGAAAGCGUGGGGAGCAAACAGG
rnacentral:rRNA from 1 species